rnacentral:rRNA from 1 species
UGCAAGUCAAUGGGCAUUUGUCUAAACCCAUAGGCGAAAUGAAAGUGAGCGAGGGCGCACUGUGCGCCCUCUAGGGCUGAUCCCCGACCCAAGUCGUGGGUGCUAAGUGUCAUGCAGAAGUGUACUGAGGUGAGCUACUUUCCCUCCGGUAUAACCUGUUGGCAUGAACCACUUGUUCCCCUUCCGGGGGGACGAACACGACGCUUUGGGUCUAAACUCGUGCAAAUGGGGGGGCGCAAGCCCGGGACGUGUCAAGACGCGGCUGCUCGCACCGGCUCCGGCCGGCUGCUUGCGGUCUGUAGUCGACAUGUACCUUGAGCAGACAUGUUAGUACCCGAAAGAUGGUGAACUAUGCCUGGCCAGGAUGAAGCCAGAGGAAACUCUGGUGGAGGUCCGAAGCAAUUCUGACGUGCAAAUCGAUUGUCAGAGCUGGGCAUAGGGGCGAAAGACUAAUCGAACCAUCUAGUAGCUGGUUCCCUCCGAAGUUUCCCUCAGGAUAGCUGGGACUCGUUUACGGAUUAACACCCGGUAAAGCGAAUGAUUAGAGGUUUUGGGGACGGAACGUCCUCAACCUAUUCUCAAACUUUAAAUGGGUGAGAAGCCAAGCUUGCUUAACUGAAGCUUUGGUCUUUUCUGUUUAAUCUGAGAGCCUAGUGGGCCAAUUUU